rnacentral:rRNA from 1 species
CCUACGGGCGGCAGCAGUGGGGAAUAUUGGACAAUGGGGGGAACCCUGAUCCAGCCAUGCCGCGUGUGUGAAGAAGGCCCUCGGGUUGUAAAGCACUUUCAGUGAGGAAGAACGCCUGGUGGUUAAUACCCAUCAGGAAAGACAUCACUCACAGAAGAAGCACCGGCUAUCUCCGUGCCAGCAGCCGCGGUAAUACGGAGGGUGCGAGCGUUAAUCGGAAUUACUGGGCGUAAAGCGCGCGUAGGUGGCUUGAUAAGCCGGUUGUGAAAGCCCCGGGCUCAACCUGGGAACGGCAUCCGGAACUGUCAAGCUAGAGUGCAGGAGAGGAAGGUAGAAUUCCCGGUGUAGCGGUGAAAUGCGUAGAGAUCGGGAGGAAUACCAGUGGCGAAGGCGGCCUUCUGGACUGACACUGACACUGAGGUGCGAAAGCGUGGGUAGCAAACAGGAUUAGAUACCCCAGUAGUC